UUCAAAUGAUUAUAUCUGGAAUACACAUUAUAAACCUAUACUCGAAGAUAUGAUAAUGAAAUUUAAGGAAGAAGGUAUUCGAUCAACAAUGGUUGUCAAAGAAGAAAUGAAAAACAUUAACCAAGGUCAAGAAUUAGAAGAUGAUUCGAAGUUAUUGUCUUCUAGAAUUGAAGGAAGUGCUUGGUAUCCCUCAUGAGGUACCGAUGUGACGGGACUUGGAAGAACAAGACUUAGAGAGGAGGAUUUAUGAUGUUUAGAGCGUGUUGUUACACCAAGAUUAAUAUGUUUCAUUCAUUCAUUAAAAAGAGAAAUGUUUAAUAAAAGUUUUUAAGACA